rnacentral:rRNA from 1 species
CGCGCAGGUGGUUCGUUAAGUCCGAGGUGAAAUCUCCCGGCUCAACUGGGAGGGGUCUUCGGAUACUGGCGGACUUGAGGAGAGCAGAGGUGAGCGGAAUUCUCGGUGUAGUGGUGAAAUGCGUAGAUAUCGAGAGGAACACCAGCGGCGAAGGCGGCUCACUGGGCUCCACCUGACACUGAGGCGCGAAAGCGUGGGGAGCAAACCGGAUUAGAUACCCGGGUAGUCCACGCUGUAAACGAUGGGCACUAGGUGUGGGGGGUAUUGACCCCCUCCGUGCCGAAGCUAACGCAAUAAGUGCCCCGCCUGGGGAGUACGGCCGCAAGGCUAAA